rnacentral:lncRNA from 1 species
UCCCAGGCCACAGCCACAUGGAGCCAUCUGCACCAUGAAGCUGAAGAUAAAGCCGCAGAAAGAUUGCUGUGUGUUGUGAGUGGAGAAGAGCCCUGCUUCUCUUCACUGGCUGAUGUGCAGACAUUUAUUAGUAAAUCUUCACGGCGGUCUAGGGAGGCCUUUGACUGAGCGCUGUUCAUCGAGUCCAGCCCCGGCUUUGCAAAUAAACAGCUGACACCAAGAGAGGAGAAGCAACACGGCUAAGGCCACAGGGUGACAAAGCCUUAACAGCAAGAAGGGGAGAAGGCAGUCAUCUGGAAACGAGGAAGACAGCCCUCACCAGAAACUGACACUGUUGGACCUCGAUCUUGGACUUGCAGCCUCUAGAAUUGCAAGAAAAUAAAUUUAAGCUGUGGACUCUG